rnacentral:rRNA from 1 species
UGUCUAAGUAUAAGCAAUUAUACAGCGAAACUGCGAAUGGCUCAUUAUAUAAGUUAUCGUUUAUUUGAUAGUACCUUACUACUUGGAUAACCGUGGUAAUUCUAGAGCUAAUACAUGCUAAAAAUCCCGACUCCGGAAGGGAUGUAUUUAUUAGAUUAAAAACCAAUGCCCUCUGGGCUCCUUGGUGAUUCAUGAUAACUCUUCGAAUCGCACGGCCUUGCGCCGGCGAUGGUUCAUUCAAAUUUCUUCCCUAUCAACUUUCGAUGUUUGGGUAUUGGCCAAACAUGGUAGCAACGGGUAACGGAGGGUUAGGGCUCGACCCCGGAGAAGGAGCCUGAGAAACGGCUACUACAUCCAAGGAAGGCAGCAGGCGCGCAAAUUACCCAAUCCCGAUUCGGGGAGGUAGUGACAAUAAAUACUGAUACAGGGCUCUUUUGGGUCUUGUAAUUGGAAUGAGUACAAUUUAAAUCCCUUAACGAGGAACAAUUGGAGGGCAAGUCUGGUGCCAGCAGCCGCGGUAAUUCCAGCUCCAAUAGCGUAUAUUAAAGUUGUUGUGGUUAAAAAGCUCGUAGUUGAACCUUGGGCCUGGCUGGCCGGUCCGCCUCACCGCGUGCACUGGUCCGGCCGGGCCUUUCCCUCUGUGGAACCCCAUGCCCUUCACUGGGCGUGGCGGGGAAACAGGACGUUUACUUUGAAAAAAUUAGAGUGCUCCAGGCAGGCCUAUGCUCGAAUACAUUAGCAUGGAAUAAUGAAAUAGGACGCGUGGUUCUAUUUUGUUGGUUUCUAGGACCGCCGUAAUGAUUAAUAGGGACAGUCGGGGGCAUCAGUAUUCAAUUGUCAGAGGUGAAAUUCUUGGAUUUAUUGAAGACUAACUACUGCGAAAGCAUUUGCCAAGGAUGUUUUCAUUAAUCAGGAACGAAAGUUAGGGGAUCGAAGACGAUCAGAUACCGUCGUAGUCUUAACCAUAAACUAUGCCGACUAGGGAUCGGACGAUGUUAUUUUUUGACGCGUUCGGCACCUUACGAGAAAUCAAAGUGCUUGGG